rnacentral:rRNA from 1 species
CGUGCUUAACACAUGCAAGUCGAACGAGAACGGCCUUAGCUUGCUAAGGUGUCAGCUAAGUGGCGCACGGGUGAGUAAUGUAUAGUUGAUCUGCCCCCUGGAGAGGGAUAGCCACUGGAAACGGUGAUUAAUACCUCAUACUCCUUAAGGUGUAAAGGCCAUAAGGGAAAUGUCUAUUCGCCAGGGGAUGAGACUAUAUCGCAUCAGCUUGUUGGUGGGGUAAGAGCCUACCAAGGCGAUGACGCGUAGCGGGUCUGAGAGGAUGAUCCGCCACACUGGUACUGAGACACGGACCAGACUCCUACGGGAGGCAGCAGUGAGGAAUAUUGCACAAUGGGCGAAAGCCUGAUGCAGCAACGCCGCGUGGAGGAUGACGCAUCUCGGUGUGUAAACUCCUUUUAUGAGGGAAGAUAAUGACGGUACCUCAUGAAUAAGCACCGGCUAACUCCGUGCCAGCAGCCGCGGUAAUACGGAGGGUGCAAGCGUUACUCGGAAUCACUGGGCGUAAAGCGCAUGCAGGCGGUUGAAUAAGUUAGAAGUGAAAUCCUAUGGCUUAACCAUAGAACUGCUUCUAAAACUGUUUGACUAGAGUCUGGGAGGGGAAGAUGGAAUUAGUAGUGUAGGGGUAAAAUCCGUAGAGAUUACCUAGGAAUACCAAAAGCGAAGGCGAUCUUCUGGAACAGUACUGACGCUGAGAUGCGAAAGCGUGGGGAGCAAACAGGAUUAGAUACCCUGGUAGUCCACGCAGUAAACGAUGAAUGUUAGUCGUUGGGACUCUAGUAGUUUCAGUGAUGCAGUUAACACAUUAAACAUUCCGCCUGGGGAGUACGGUCGCAAGAUUAAAACUCAAAGGAAUAGACGGGGACCCGCACAAGUGGUGGAGCAUGUGGUUUAAUUCGAAGAUACGCGAAGAACCUUACCUAGCCUUGACAUUGAUAGAACACUUUAGAGAUAGAGUGGUGCCCUUUUGGGAACUUGAAAACAGGUGCUGCACGGCUGUCGUCAGCUCGUGUCGUG